AUUGAACUCUGGCGGCAGUCCUAACACAUUCAAGUCGAGCGGUUUAAGGGAUCUUGCUCCUGUAUUCAGCGGCGGACGGGUGCGUAAUGCCUAUCAUUCCGCCUCUUCCUCGCGGAUUACGUCCGUAAACGGGCUCUAAUACCGCAUACGUCCUUUGCGCGAAAGUCCUUGAUCUUCGGACCUCACUCUAUCCGAUCAUCCUAGGUCGGCUUAGCUAGUUGGUGGGGUAAAGGCCUACCAAGGCGCCGAUCCGUAACUGGUCUGAGAUGAUGAUCAGUCAAGCUGGAACUGAGAAACGAUCCAGACUCAGACGGGAGGCAGGAGUGGGGAAGAUUGGACAAUGGGCGAAAGCCUGAUCCAGCCAUGCCGCGAGUGUGAAGAAGGUAUUCGGAUUGUAAAGCACUGUAAGUUGGGAGGAAGGGCAGUAAGUUAACACCUGGAUGUAAUGACGUGACCAACAGAAUAGGCACCGGCUAAAUUCGUG
rnacentral:rRNA from 1 species